rnacentral:rRNA from 1 species
AUGGCUCAUCUAGUGGUUCCCUCUUCUCUAGAUUGGGCCAGAUUUGCAAAGCAAACAGAGGAGGUGACAACCUCAUGGAUAAUUGGGUUGUCUCCUCCAAGGUCAGCACAUCCUAAGAAGGAAAUAGGAGAGGGGACGAGUAACUAUGGAAUACCAAAGCGAAAUCCAGACAUUGGGUUUACUACACCACAGAAACCGUAUAGUGCACCUUUCUGUGGCUCAUCUUGUACUCCAGAGUGUGAUGAUGCCAUCAGACCAGCCAUAGAGAUGACUUUUGCUCAUUUGAACGUAGCCAGGGAGUUCUAUGAAGCUUAUGCACAUCAUGUUGGUUUUUUAGUACGUGUGGGGCAGCAAAAGACUGUCAAUGGUGUCAUUACUCACAAGCAUUUCUACUGUGACCGUGAAGAUUUCCGUGAAGAGCGGAAAGUUAAGGAAACUUUGGUAGCUAGGACUGGCAGAUUUUAUUUUGAUUUUGUUCUUGAUGAUAAGGCCAGGCUGUUUUGGCUUAGAUUUGACACGGCUUUGGAAGAACAACGUCAUAAGGAGUUGCAAGAGGACCAUGUGAUCCUACAUACGAUACCUGUGUUGAAGACAUCGUGGGCGAUUGAAAAGCAUGGCAGAGAGGUUGCUUGGUGGCCCUACCGACUUCUGCAAGUUAUUAGGACUAAUAGUAUUCCAUUGGCAAUGGUUUCACUUGCUGGAAUGUGCUAUGUGAAGUGCAUGAGUUCUUGA